rnacentral:lncRNA from 1 species
AGGCGUCGGUGACAGAGCUCUCCACUACACAUAGCAGAGCCACCACGUCUAUUAUUACGCAGCUCGGACAUGUGACAGAUGCAGUCACCCUCCUCAUGGAGCAGAGCCGAUUGAGAGGAGGAGCCACAUCCUCCAGAGGAGGAAAUGCAUCCUCGAGAGGGGGAGCCUCAUCCUCGAGGAGGCCAUAGAUGUUUUUGUGUUUUGUCUUGUUUUGCUUUACUUAUUGUAUUCUCAAAUGUAUUCACAUUCAUAACAAUACAAUGAGUAGACAUUUUAUCUUCAAUUAUGUGCCAUUUGAUGUGCCAUUUGUUGAUUGUGCCAUUGAUUGUGUGUGAUUACCUCCUUUUUGGUAUGAUGACAAAAAGGGGGAGAAAUAUGUAUAAAAUAUGGUAAAAUAUGUAAAAGGGGAGAAAUAUUAAAAAAAACAAUAUGUAAAAGAAAUCAAUGGAAAUAAAUAUAACGAUAAACUAUUAGAAACACACACAAAUUUGUUCUAAGUGGAUUCGGUACCUCGAGGCUCAUUAUCUCUCUUUUGGGGCUUCUAAUGGAGUAAUCUCCAGAAUCUAUUCAAGAGAUAUUCGGAGAUUAGCUGAAUCCUACUCAAGAACAAAUUGACAUAUUUUCCCUCUAAAAAGAUAAAAUUCAGUUCAAAAAAACUUCAAAG